AGCACUACUACCGAGAACUAUAAUAAAUUGUGCAGAAGCUAUUCAAGAGAGAAAAAUAAACUACUGGAAUUAUUCCAAGAAACAACACAAAAUUGAACCUGUGUUUUCCUUCUUUUUCAGGUUUUUUGGUGCAACCUUUCAAUAAUUUUCUAGUGCAUUUUUAAGUAUUAUGGUAUUAUUAUAAUAUUUAUUAUUAUUUCCAGUAGUAUAUUUAUUAUGUUUUUAUAAUCUAUAACUUCCAUUUGAGGCUUUAUUGCUGUUAUCAUGGAAGCCAGAAGUGAACCUGUUCAACCCUAAGAAAGGAAACAGUUCAACCACACUCCUUAAAAGAGAAAUCCUGUGCAUGAGAACAAAGAUCUACAGGAAGGGCUGUUCUUUCAGGUUCCCAUCAUGGAAGUGAGCUAGGAAAAACAGGAGCACAGUUCAUCUGAACCACCUUUGACAACAACUUGACAACAGCAGGUAUCUUACCUGCUAAAAGAAGAGAUAAGAGAACUCCUCUCUGUUUAAUACAGUGAUCUCUAGAUUUACAGGUAAAGUGCUGCCAUCAAUAUGUUUUUCUUGUUUGAUUGUGCUUUUGUGGAGCAGGA
rnacentral:lncRNA from 1 species